UGUGCGUCAUCCCCUUCCCAGCCGCCUCCCCAUUUCUUUCAUUUUCCCAUUGUCUUCUUCAACAACAAUUUCUCUCAAACCAACGAAAUCAUUGGCUAGAUAGUCCGGCGCCUUCUCUCUUUCCAGUAUUGUGAUAGGUAUUGAGUGGAACCUUCAAGAUUAUAAUUUAAUGUUGGGAGGAGCCACAGUUCGUCGAAAAGACAUUACAAAUAUAAAUUAGAUGAAAAUCCUUUCAAAAGUUAUAGAAAAGUAUUCAGGGUGCAUUUUAAUCUGUUAAAUGCAAGCAGAUCAAAGAUCAGUCUUGAUGCAAAGAGUGAAAUUACUUUAUCGUUGCUAAUCCAGUGGCAACAUCUUUAGCUACGACGUAGAAUACCUCGAUCCAUCCGAUUUUGAAUAAAAAUAUUUGGCACUUCACCGCUACAUAAAUUGAGUGCAUUCAAAUUCAGAAAUGAAAGCACAUAAAAAUGGGAGGAAACUUGUUCAUGGCACACCCAUAUUUAUCUUGUUAAAAUUCACGGGAAUGUAUAGGAAAAUUGUGUCUUUAGUUUAAAAGUUGGUGGUUAACAAUGAAGGGUCACAACUUUUUAGAAAAGGCACAAUAUUAAUUAAUAUUUCUGUAGAUAUUUAUUUAAUUAUUGUUAAAAGGGUAUAUUGGUAAUUUAA